CCGCUGACAGACUGUAGUCGGCCUCACGCUACAGAUACUGGGGCCACUGACAGACUGUAGUCGGCCUCACGCUACAGAUACUGGGGCCACUGACAGACUGUAGUAGGCCUCACGCUACAGAUACUGGGGCCGCUGACAGACUGUAGUAGGCCUCACGCUACAGAUACUGGGGCCGCUGACAGACUGUAGUAGGCCGCACGCUA